rnacentral:rRNA from 1 species
UACGAAGGGGGCUAGCGUUGCUCGGAAUCACUGGGCGUAAAGCGCACGUUGGCGGCUUCUUAAGUCAGGGGUGAAAUCCUGGAGCUCAACUCCAGAACUGCCUUUGAUACUGAGAAGCUUGAGUCCGGGAGAGGUGAGUGGAACUGCGAGUGUAGAGGUGAAAUUCGUAGAUAUUCGCAAGAACACCAGUGGCGAAGGCGGCUCACUGGCCCGGUACUGACGCUGAGGUGCGAAAGCGUGGGGAGCAAACAGG